rnacentral:rRNA from 1 species
UACGUAGGGGGCAAGCGUUGUCCGGAUUUAUUGGGCGUAAAGAGCUUGUAGGCGGUUUGUCGCGUCUGCCGUGAAAAUUCGAGGCUCAACCUCGAACUUGCGGUGGGUACGGGCAGACUAGAGUGUGGUAGGGGAGACUGGAAUUCCUGGUGUAGCGGUGAAAUGCGCAGAUAUCAGGAGGAACACCGAUGGCGAAGGCAGGUCUCUGGGCCACUACUGACGCUGAAAAGCGAAAGCAUGGGGAGCGAACAGG